UGUGGAUUCAACUCUUGGUUCUAUCAUGUAUCAGGUGUAUAGACCCAAAGAGAUUCCUUAAACUCUCAGUGCCUCAGUUUCCCAAUCUGUAAAAUGGGGCCGUGGCCAGCACCCAAUCCAAAGAUCUUCAGUGAGGAAUGCAGGUGAAUCCUUGGUGCAGUCUGAGCUUGGUCAGUCGACUGCACAGUAGCUGUUGAGUGCUUGGCAAGGGGUGUGCAGCUGGAGUGGCUCCAGGGCUGGCUUCUGUGGGCUGACGGCGGCACUGCAGGCUGCAUUAGGACAGUGUUUCCUGAAACCUUCCCGAAGACGCUAGGCUCUGAAUUCAGUGUUCUGAGCCUCUUUCUCAGGGCCUGUGCGUUCCUCUAAGUCAGGCUGCUUCCGGGCCCAGCUUGGUCCUGCCUGAGCCUCCUGGCAAACUCCAAGGAGGCUGUGGCAGCUCGGGUGGCACCAGGCAAAGUUGCUGCAAGGAACCUGGCUCCGGAUCUACUCGCCCAGCUUUCAGAAUUAUCAGCUGGCAUCCAAAAGGGCUAAUGGCAACGGCAUUCAGAUUUCCUUUUGUAAGGCUCCAGGACCUACGUCCUCAUGCAUGCUAGGCAAGGGCUCUGCCCCUGAGCUACACCUCUGCUUGCUUGGUAUCCUGCUUC
rnacentral:lncRNA from 1 species